rnacentral:rRNA from 1 species
AGUGAACGCUGGCGGUAGGCCUAACACAUGCAAGUCGAACGCGUGGCGGACGGGUGAGGAAUACAUCGGAAUCUGCUCUGUCGAGGGGGAUAACGUAUGGAAACUUACGCUAAUACCGCAUACGAUUGAAUGCGCCGAUGUGGGAUUAGCUGGUUGGCGGGGUAACGGCUCACCAAGGCGACGAUCCGUAGCUGGUCUGAGAGGAUGAUCAUCCACACUGGAACUGAGACACGGUCCAGAGUCCUACGGGCGGCCGCAGUGGGGAAUAUUGGACAAUGGGCGCAAGCCUGAUGCAGCCAUACCGCGUGGGUGAAGAAGGCCUUCGGGUUGUAAAGCCGUUUUGUUGGGAAAGCGUUACCCGAAGAAUAAGCACCGGCUAACUCCGUGCCAGCAGCCGCGGUAAUUC